rnacentral:rRNA from 1 species
CGGACGGGUGAGUAAUGUCUGGGAAACUGCCUGAUGGAGGGGGAUAACUACUGGAAACGGUAGCUAAUACCGCAUAACGUCGCAAGACCCAAAGAGGGGGACCUUCGGGCCUCUUGCCAUCGGAUGUGCCCAGAUGGGAUUAGCUAGUAGGUGGGGUAACGGCUCACCUAGGCGACGAUCCCUAGCUGGUCUGAGAGGAUGACCAGCCACACUGGAACUGAGACACGGUCCAG